rfam:Schistosoma mansoni strain Puerto Rico chromosome 6, complete genome
GAACUGCUGAAGAGUCUCACAAUAGAACGAAACGGCCGUUCAGUGC